rnacentral:rRNA from 1 species
GACGAACGCUGGCGGCGUGCUUAACACAUGCAAGUCGAACGGAAAGGCCCUGCUUUUGUGGGGUGCUCGAGUGGCGAACGGGUGAGUAACACGUGAGUAACCUGCCCUUGACUUUGGGAUAACUUCAGGAAACUGGGGCUAAUACCGGAUAGGAGCUCCUGCUUCAUGGUGGGGGUUGGAAAGUUUCGGCGGUUGGGGAUGGACUCGCGGCUUAUCAGCUUGUUGGUGGGGUAGUGGCUUACCAAGGCUUUGACGGGUAGCCGGCCUGAGAGGGUGACCGGCCACAUUGGGACUGAGAUACGGCCCAGACUACUACGGGAGGCAGCAGUGGGGAAUAGUGCACAAUGGGCGGAAGCCUGAUGCAGCAAAGCCGCGUGCGGGAUGACGGCCUUCGGGUUGUAAACCGCUUUCGCCUGUGACGAAGCGUGAGUGACGGUAAUGGGUAAAGAAGCACCGGCUAACUACGUG